AUGUGCCUUUUAAUUUCAUGUGAACUGUGCCUGCGAGAAGACGGAAGGAUCAAGCCAUCAUCAAAGAAGAUUAGAAUUUGGAGGACCCACGCCAAGUCUCUAGAUCCCUUGCCCCUUGGGGCAGUGUGGAGGAGAAGAUCUGGUAUGCCAGCUGUUGACGGAAUGACUUCUUCUGGUCCAGGUUCCUGGUUCACCACAGAGGAUGCAAUGAGGAAACCAGUGCAUUCGAAGCCACCUGUGUCACUGGGUAUGUACACGAGCAUGUACAAGAAGGAGUACAAAUGGCCUGAGGAAAGCAAACCACCCACUGAGGAGGACGUGAAGAAGCUCAGAGCCAAGGAGUUUGCCGUGCCCCAGGAGCCACAGGCAAUGCCAUACUAUGACAAAGCUCUCAGGGAAGGCAGAGAAGUCAAGCAAAUUGAGAAGCAAGAAGGCAUUACCCUCAGUCCCAGUGUGCUGCAGCAGGCUCAUGAAGAGCAGAGAAAGCACUUUGGUUCAGACCUCCCGCUAGCAGAAGGCCAUGCACCAAAGCCGUACCUCACCACUGAACUGACAGCAACCCAGGCGGACAGACCAGAGAGGCCACAGGCUCCCAGUGGGCUGGAAAAGGGACUAUCUUCUUCCCAGCACCUUCAAGCCGUUGGUGGUGGCCCAGGAGCAACAGGGAUGUUGCUAUAUAGGCAGAAGCUGGAUCCCACCUGGGGUACCUACCAGCACUUCAUGCUGGAGGCAGGCCAGGCCCUGCAAGAUGAGGCUCAGCAGAACAAGAAUGUGGCCCUGGCCUCGUCAGUUUUGGUGAAAGGAACCGCUGGGUGUCUGAAUACAAGGACAACUACAGCAUUUCCUUGCAGAAGCUGA
rnacentral:lncRNA from 1 species